GAUUAAGCCAUGCAUGUGUAAGUGUAAAUUGUUAAGUUUGGAACUGCGAAUGGCUCAUUAUAUCAGUUAUAGUUUAUUUGGUGAAGUGUACUACUUGGAUAACCGUAGUAAUUCUAGGGCUAAUACAUGAGAAAGUCCUCUGGUGAGGUGUGUUUAUUAGAAUGAAAACCAUAUGCUUCGGCAUGAUAGUGAGUAAUAGUAACCUAUCGUAUCGCAUGCUUAAUGUAGCGAUGAGUCUUUCAAGUUUCUGCCCUAUCAGCUUUCGAUGGUAGUAUAUGGGCCUACCAUG
rnacentral:rRNA from 3 species